GGGUUCGAUUCCGGAGAGGGAGCCUGAGAAACGGCUACCANNNNNNNNGAAGGCAGCAGGCGCGCAAACUACCCAAUCCCAAUACGGGGAGGUAGUGACAAUAAAUAACAAUAUGGGGCUCUUACGGGUCUCGUAAUUGGAAUGAGUACAAUUUAAAUCUCUUAACGAGGAACAAUUGGAGGGCAAGUCUGGUGCCAGCAGCCGCGGUAAUUCCAGCUCCAAUAGCGUAUAUUAAAGUUGUUGCAGUUAAAAAGCUCGUAGUUGAAUUUCGGAGUUUGUCGGUUGGUCGGGCUUCACUGUCCGCACUGGCCUGAUGGAUUCCUACCUUCUGAAUAACCAGCAUGCUAUUAGGUUAGUGCGUUGGGGAAGCAGAGCUAUUACCUUGAAAAAAUUAGAGUGCUUAAAGCAGGCUUUUGCUUGAAUAGAUUAGCAUGGAAUAAUAAAAUAGGACGGCAUGGUUCUAUUUUGUUGGUUUCUAGGAUCACCGUAAUGAUUAAUAGGGAUAGUUGGGGGCAUUAGUAUUCAAUUGUCAGAGGUGAAAUUCUUGGAUUUAUUGAAGACUAACUUCUGCGAAAGCAUUUGCCAAGGAUGUUUUCAUUAAUCAAGAACGAAAGUUAGGGGAUCGAAGACGAUCAGAUACCGUCGUAGUCUUAACCAUAAACUAUGCCGACUAGGGAUCGGACGAUGUUAAUUUUUUAAUGACUCGUUCGGCGCCUUACG
rnacentral:rRNA from 1 species